UACGUAGGGUGCAAGCGUUGUCCGGAAUUAUUGGGCGUAAAGAGCUCGUAGGCGGUUCGUCGCGUCGGCUGUGAAAUCCCGAGGCUCAACCUCGGGUCUGCAGUCGAUACGGGCGGACUGGAGUACUGCAGGGGAGACUGGAAUUCCUGGUGUAGCGGUGAAAUGCGCAGAUAUCAGGAGGAACACCGGUGGCGAAGGCGGUUCUCUGGGACGGUACUGACGCUGAGACGCGAAAGCGUGGGGAGCGAACAGG
rnacentral:rRNA from 1 species